GACGAACGCUGGCGGCGUGCCUAAUACAUGCAAGUAGAACGCUGAAGAGAGGAGCUUGCUCUUCUUGGAUGAGUUGCGAACGGGUGAGUAACGCGUAGGUAACCUGCCUGGUAGCGGGGGAUAACUAUUGGAAACGAUAGCUAAUACCGCAUAAAAUUGAUUAUUGCAUGAUAAUUAAUUGAAAGAUGCAAUUGCAUCACUACCAGAUGGACCUGCGUUGUAUUAGCUAGUUGGUGAGGUAACGGCUCACCAAGGCGACGAUACAUAGCCGACCUGAGAGGGUGAUCGGCCACACUGCUGACUGAGACACGGCCCAGACUCCUACGGGAGGCAGCAGUAGGGAAUCUUCGGCAAUGGGGGGAACCCUGACCGAGCAACGCCGCGUGA
rnacentral:rRNA from 1 species